GGGCCUUUAGCUCAGUUGGUUAGAGCGCGUCCCUGAUAAGGACGAGGUCACUGGUUCAAGUCCAGUAAGGCCCACCA
rnacentral:tRNA from 1 species